rnacentral:ncRNA from 1 species
UCCACUGCGAGGUGGAAUCUGAAGGAAGCCUGGAGCAAAUUCCCGGCCUGACGAACAGAAACUGCAUAUAAGGCCUAUGGAGACCGGAUGAGAUUGCAUAACAAAUCAAAGUCCGUUACUGCACGGGGUCUCUGGGGUAAAUGCAGCAGGUAUAUGGGAUGAAAGUUAUUGUU